rnacentral:rRNA from 1 species
CACGCCGUAAACGAUGUCUACUAGGUUGUGGGAGUUCUGACACUUCCGCAGUCGAAGCAAAAGUGAUAAGUAGACCGCCUGGGGAGUACGGUCGCAAGGCUAAAACUCAAAGGAAUUGACGGGGGCUCACACAAGCGGUGGAGCAUGUGGAUUAAUUCGAAGCAACGCGCAGAACCUUACCUGGGUUUGACAUGUAUGGAUGCCGUUCUGGAAACAGAAUUGGCUGCCCUCGGGUGAAACUUACACAGGUGC